GGUUAAGCGACUAAGCGUACACGGUGGAUGCCCUGGCAGUCAGAGGCGAUGAAGGACGUGCUAAUCUGCGAUAAGCGCCGGUAAGGUGAUAUGAACCGUUAUAACCGGCGAUUUCCGAAUGGGGAAACCCAGUGUGAUUCGUCACACUAUCAUUAACUGAAUCCAUAGGUUAAUGAGGCGAACCGGGGGAACUGAAACAUCUAAGUACCCCGAGGAAAAGAAAUCAACCGAGAUUCCCCCAGUAGCGGCGAGCGAACGGGGAGGAGCCCAGAGCCUGAAUCAGCAUGUGUGUUAGUGGAAGCGUCUGGAAAGGCGCGCGAUACAGGGUGACAGCCCCGUACACAAAAGCGCAUGUGCUGUGAGCUCGAUGAGUAGGGCGGGACACGUGGUAUCCUGUCUGAAUAUGGGGGGACCAUCCUCCAAGGCUAAAUACUCCUGACUGACCGAUAGUGAACCAGUACCGUGAGGGAAAGGCGAAAAGAACCCCGGCGAGGGGAGUGAAAAAGAACCUGAAACCGUGUACGUACAAGCAGUGGGAGCACAGGUUUACCUGUGUGACUGCGUACCUUUUGUAUAAUGGGUCAGCGACUUAUAUUCUGUAGCAAGGUUAACCGAAUAGGGGAGCCGGAGGGAAACCGAGUCUUAAUUGGGCGUUAAGUUGCAGGGUAUAGACCCGAAACCCGGUGAUCUAGCCAUGGGCAGGUUGAAGGUUGGGUAACACUAACUGGAGGACCGAACCGACUAAUGUUGAAAAAUUAGCGGAUGACCUGUGGCUGGGGGUGAAAGGCCAAUCAAACCGGGAGAUAGCUGGUUCUCCCCGAAAGCUAUUUAGGUAGCGCCUCGUGAAUUCAUCUCCGGGGGUAGAGCACUGUUUCGGCUAGGGGGCCAUCCCGGCUUACCAACCCGAUGCAAACUGCGAAUACCGGAGAAUGUUAUCACGGGAGACACACGGCGGGUGCUAACGUCCGUCGUGAAGAGGGAAACAACCCAGACCGCCAGCUAAGGUCCCAAAGUCAUGGUUAAGUGGGAAACGAUGUGGGAAGGCCCAGACAGCCAGGAUGUUGGCUUAGAAGCAGCCAUCAUUUAAAGAAAGCGUAAUAGCUCACUGGUCGAGUCGGCCUGCGCGGAAGAUGUAACGGGGCUAAACCAUGCACCGAAGCUGCGGCAGCGACGCUGAUGCGUUGUUGGGUAGGGGAGCGUUCUGUAAGCCUGCGAAGGUGACCUGUGAGGGUUGCUGGAGGUAUCAGAAGUGCGAAUGCUGACAUAAGUAACGAUAAAGCGGGUGAAAAGCCCGCUCGCCGGAAGACCAAGGGUUCCUGUCCAACGUUAAUCGGGGCAGGGUGAGUCGACCCCUAAGGCGAGGCCGAAAGGCGUAGUCGAUGGGAAACGGGUUAAUAUUCCCGUACUUGGUGUUACUGCGAAGGGGGGACGGAGAAGGCUAUGUUGGCCGGGCGACGGUUGUCCCGGUUUAAGCGUGUAGGUGUGUGUUCCAGGUAAAUCCGGUUCACUUUAACACUGAGGCGUGAUGACGAGGCACUACGGUGCUGAAGCAACAAAUGCCCUGCUUCCAGGAAAAGCCUCUAAGCAUCAGGUAACAUCAAAUCGUACCCCAAACCGACACAGGUGGUCAGGUAGAGAAUACCAAGGCGCUUGAGAGAACUCGGGUGAAGGAACUAGGCAAAAUGGUGCCGUAACUUCGGGAGAAGGCACGCUGACACGUAGGUGAAGUGAUUUACUCACGGAGCUGAAGUCAGUCGAAGAUACCAGCUGGCUGCAACUGUUUAUUAAAAACACAGCACUGUGCAAACACGAAAGUGGACGUAUACGGUGUGACGCCUGCCCGGUGCCGGAAGGUUAAUUGAUGGGGUCAGCGCAAGCGAAGCUCCUGAUCGAAGCCCCGGUAAACGGCGGCCGUAACUAUAACGGUCCUAAGGUAGCGAAAUUCCUUGUCGGGUAAGUUCCGACCUGCACGAAUGGCGUAAUGAUGGCCAGGCUGUCUCCACCCGAGACUCAGUGAAAUUGAACUCGCUGUGAAGAUGCAGUGUACCCGCGGCAAGACGGAAAGACCCCGUGAACCUUUACUAUAGCUUGACACUGAACAUUGAGCCUUGAUGUGUAGGAUAGGUGGGAGGCUUUGAAGUGUGGACGCCAGUCUGCAUGGAGCCGACCUUGAAAUACCACCCUUUAAUGUUUGAUGUUCUAACGUGGACCCGUAAUCCGGGUUGCGGACAGUGUCUGGUGGGUAGUUUGACUGGGGCGGUCUCCUCCUAAAGAGUAACGGAGGAGCACGAAGGUUGGCUAAUCCUGGUCGGACAUCAGGAGGUUAGUGCAAUGGCAUAAGCCAGCUUGACUGCGAGCGUGACGGCGCGAGCAGGUGCGAAAGCAGGUCAUAGUGAUCCGGUGGUUCUGAAUGGAAGGGCCAUCGCUCAACGGAUAAAAGGUACUCCGGGGAUAACAGGCUGAUACCGCCCAAGAGUUCAUAUCGACGGCGGUGUUUGGCACCUCGAUGUCGGCUCAUCACAUCCUGGGGCUGAAGUAGGUCCCAAGGGUAUGGCUGUUCGCCAUUUAAAGUGGUACGCGAGCUGGGUUUAGAACGUCGUGAGACAGUUCGGUCCCUAUCUGCCGUGGGCGCUGGAGAACUGAGGGGGGCUGCUCCUAGUACGAGAGGACCGGAGUGGACGCAUCACUGGUGUUCGGGUUGUCAUGCCAAUGGCACUGCCCGGUAGCUAAAUGCGGAAGAGAUAAGUGCUGAAAGCAUCUAAGCACGAAACUUGCCCCGAGAUGAGUUCUCCCUGAGACUUAGAGUCUCCUGAAGGAACGUUGAAGACGACGACGUUGAUAGGCCGGGUGUGUAAGCGCAGCGAUGCGUUGAGCUAACCGGUACUAAUGAACCGUGAGGCUUAACCUU
rnacentral:rRNA from 3 species